GCUGCACAUCCUUGGCAUGGUCUUGAGAUCGGUAUGCAAAUAGAAGAUCAUAUUUUGUUAUGUUUGUAUUUACUUUUGCUUACAAGAGAGAUACUGAUGUUGCUGCAAAAUAAAUGUUGUCUGCAGGACCUGGAGCUCCCAACAUCUUCAAUGUUGUAUGUAUUUUCGCCACCUUUACAUAGUGAUGAAUAAGCUUAAACUGUUUGCGUCAAUGUAAAAAAGGUGGACCUGGUUUUUCAACCACCCAGCUCCGUUGCAAUGGCCAUAGGUGUAGACUGUAGCUGCACAUAAGUAGUCACAUUGGAAAGAACACAUUAGUUUAUCUGUAUGCAAAUUUAUGAGAAGAACCUUUAAAAAUAUUCAGCAAAUAAUUUCCAAGUUCUUAGCUGUCUGGUUGAAUUGAAUUGUUU
rnacentral:misc_RNA from 1 species